ACUCCUACGGGAGGCAGCAGUGGGGAAUAUUGCACAAUGGGCGCAAGCCUGAUGCAGCAACGCCGCGUGAGCGAAGAAGGUCUUCGGAUCGUAAAGCUCUUUUCUUAGGGAAGAAAAUGACGGUACCUAAGGAAUAAGCACCGGCUAAAUACGUGCCAGCAGCCGCGGUAAUACGUAUGGUGCAAGCGUUAUCCGGAAUCACUGGGCGUAAAGGGUGCGUAGGCGGUUUUGCAAGUCAGAAGUGAAAGGCUACGGCUCAACCGUAGUAAGCUUUUGAAACUGCAAGACUAGAGUGCAGGAGAGGUAAGUGGAAUUCCUAGUGUAGAGGUGAAAUUCGUAGAUAUUAGGAGGAACACCAGUGGCGAAGGCGACUUACUGGACUGUAACUGACGCUGAGGCACGAAAGCGUGGGGAGCGAACAGGAUUAGAUACCCUGGUAGCACAGAG
rnacentral:rRNA from 1 species